rnacentral:rRNA from 1 species
AACGAACGCUGGCGGCAUGCCUUACACAUGCAAGUCGAACGGUAACAGGUCUUCGGAUGCUGACGAGUGGCGAACGGGUGAGUAAUACAUCGGAACGUGCCUAGUAGUGGGGGAUAACUACUCGAAAGAGUGGCUAAUACCGCAUGAGAUCUACGGAUAAAAGCAGGGGAUCGCAAGACCUUGUGCUACUAGAGCGGCCGAUGGCAGAUUAGGUAGUUGGUGGGAUAAAAGCUUACCAAGCCGACGAUCUGUAGCUGGUCUGAGAGGACGAUCAGCCACACUGGGACUGAGACACGGGCCAGACUCCUACGGGAGGCAGCAGUGGGGAAUUUUGGACAAUGGGCGAAAGCCUGAUCCAGCAAUGCCGCGUGCAGGAUGAAGGCCUUCGGGUUGUAAACUGCUUUUGUACGGAACGAAAAGCCCCGGGUUAAUACCCUGGGGUCAUGGCGGUACCGUAAGAAUAAGCACCGGCUAACUACGUGCCAGCCGCCGCGGUAA